GGUGGCUCAGUGGUAGAGUGCUUGCCUUGCAUGCAUGAGGCUCUGGGUUGGAUUCCUUAGCACCA
rfam:Dipodomys ordii contig_71428, whole genome shotgun sequence.